rnacentral:misc_RNA from 1 species
GAUGAAGAACGUAGCGAAUUGCGAUAUGUAAUGUGAAUUGCAGAUUUUCAGUGAAUCAUCGAAUCUUUGAACGCACCUUGCGCUCCUUGGUAUUCCGAGGAGCAUGCCUGUUUGAGUGUCAUUAAUAUAUCAACCUUCUCUUUUUUGAGUUGUUUGGAUGUGGGGGUUUGCUGGCCUCUUAAAUGAUUCAGCUCCCCUGAAAUGCAUUAGCAGAACAACCUGUUCAUUAGCGUGAUAAUUAUCUAUGCUAUUGAAUGUGAGGGCAGUUCAGCUUUCUAACCGUCCUUGGACAAUUCAUCAUUAAUGUGACCUCAAAUCAGGUAGGACUACCCGCUGAACUUAAGCAUAUCAAUAAGCGGAGGA